GCACUGGUCGUUCAACUAAAAUAAAUUCUGAUACGUCCCUGCGGUGUGGUGGACGCAGCCCACGUAACGAUCGCUCCCUUGCGUGCUAUCUGCUCCUUUUUUUUUCAGGGGUGCGUGCUAUCUGCUCCUUGUAUAUACAGCCGUCGCUCUUGUCCUCUGUUCGUCCUUCCGCCUCGCUCGCUCCAGCCGUCGCCUCUCGUCCUCUGUUCCUCGUUCUGCCUCACUCCACCCGCCGCUGCACUGCUUCUGUAGACCACCAUGAAGGUGGUUGUUGGUUGAGUGUGAGUGAGAGCUCUAGUCCUUCAUCGAUCGCUCAUCUUGUUCGUCAAUGAAUUCUGCGCCUGUCAUCGUCACCAAGGAAUUGGCGUCAUCAGUUGAUAAUCGAGUUUACCUUGUUAUUUGAUCUGCUGGGCAUAUCAACUCUGCAGAAAUUAGCUGAGCCUUCUAUCACCAAAUAAAAGGGUUGUGAUGUCGCUACGACAGCUGCUGGGAUGGUCGGAUGGAGAGGUAAUGCGGCCGGAGUCAAAGCCCUGCUCGCGACUGAUGCGCCACACUGCUGGUAUCUUCUCAGUUGGUGGUGGUCUUGCUUUCUGGGUGCUUUGCCGCCUUCACUAUGGUCCAAGGAUAACGGUUCCAAGGAGUCUUAGGUGGGCAUCCUGUGGAGCGAUAGGCACGAGCGCGACGGCAGCCAUGCUUGUGCGGCUCUUCAGCCCGGAGUGUGAACCGCAGAACAUAGCAGCUUUUGACAGACCUGAAUACAAGCCUGCAUAGUGUCAUGAAAAUCCAGUGCCAGGUCUACCAAGCCAUAUGCGAGUUUUCUGAUUCGGCCCUUGGUAUCUGCCUUGCAAGAUGUUUAUGCAUAAAUGUACCUCCCCUGAAAUUGGACACUUCUAUGUUCCCUACACUCUGGCCGCUGUUAUUUUGUUCCGAAACUAGGAACUUUUUGCAUCAAAUUUGGAGCUGGUACCUUUUGCAUCAAAUUUGGUUUCCGUUGCUCGUGAAGUGAGGUAGUGAUGUAUUGCUGGACACAUUUUGAAUGCUGAUAAGUUACACUUUGUUAA